GACGAACGCUGGCGGCGUGCCUAAUACAUGCAAGUCGAGCGGAACUGGGGGAGCUUGCUCCUUCCAGUUUAGCGGCGGACGGGUGAGUAACACGUGGGCAACCUGCCCUGCAGAUCGGGAUAACUCCGGGAAACCGGUGCUAAUACCGAAUAGUUUGGCGCCUCUCCUGAGGCGCUACGGAAAGACGGUUUCGGCUGUCACUGCAGGAUGGGCCCGCGGGGCAUUAGCUAGUUGGUGGGGUAACGGCCCACCAAGGCGACGAUGCGUAGCCGACCUGAGAGGGUGACCGGCCACACUGGGACUGAGACACGGCCCAGACUCCUACGGGAGGCAGCAGUAGGGAAUCUUCCGCAAUGGACACAAGUCUGACGGAGCAACGCCGCGUGAGUGACGAAGGUUUUCGGAUCGUAAAACUCUGUUGUGAGGGAAGAACACGUACCAACUAACUAUUGGUACCUUGACGGUACCUCACCAGAAAGCCACGGCUAACUACGUGCCAGCCGCCGCGGUAA
rnacentral:rRNA from 1 species